GAUGAACGCUGGCGGCGUGCCUAAUACAUGCAAGUCGAGCGAACGGACGAGAAGCUUGCUUCUCUGAUGUUAGCGGCGGACGGGUGAGUAACACGUGGAUAACCUACCUAUAAGACUGGGAUAACUUCGGGAAACCGGAGCUAAUACCGGAUAAUAUUUUGAACCGCAUGGUUCAAAAGUGAAAGACGGUCUUGCUGUCACUUAUAGAUGGAUCCGCGCUGCAUUAGCUAGUUGGUAAGGUAACGGCUUACCAAGGCAACGAUGCAUAGCCGACCUGAGAGGGUGAUCGGCCAAACUGGAACUGAGACACGGUCCAGACUCCUACGGGAGGCAGCAGUAGGGAAUCUUCCGCAAUGGGCGAAAGCCUGACGGAGCAACGCCGCGUGAGCGAUGAAGGUCUUCGGAUCGUAAAACUCUGUUAUUAGGGAAGAACAUAUGUGUAAGUAACUGUGCACAUCUUGACGGUACCUAAUCAGAAAGCCACGGCUAACUACGUG
rnacentral:rRNA from 1 species